UGCCAGAGUCCACUUAAGAAAUCCCCU
rnacentral:piRNA from 1 species